rnacentral:rRNA from 1 species
UAGGGAAUAUUGGGCAAUGGGUGCAAGCCUGACCCAGCCAUCCCGCGUGCCGGAUGAAGGCCCUCUGGGUCGUAAACGGCUUUUGACGAGGAAGAACCGACGGGGUGCGCCCUGUUUUGACGGUACUCGUUGAAUAAGCACCGGCUAACUCCGUGCCAGCAGCCGCGGUAAUACGGAGGGUGCGAGCGUUGUCCGGAUUUAUUGGGUUUAAAGGGUGCGUAGGCUGGAGAGUCAGUCAGCGGUGAAAGGCAAGCGCUUAACGGUUGUCUUGCCGCAGAUACUUCUCUUCUUGGAUUAAGUGGAGGUUACCGGAACAGAUGGUGUAGCGGUGAAAUGCAUAGAUAUCAUCUAGAACGCCAAUUGCGGAGGCAGGUGACUGUACUUAAAUCGACGCUGAUGCACGAAAGCAUGGGGAGCGAACAGG